rnacentral:rRNA from 1 species
AAUCAACGCUGGCGGCGUGCCUCAGACAUGCAAGUCGAACGAUUAAAGCUCCCUUCGGGGAGUGCAUAGAGUGGCGCACGGGUGAGUAACACGUAAGUAAUCUACCCUCGGGUGGGGAAUAACGUUCGGAAACGGACGCUAAUACCGCAUAAUGCAGCGGCACCGCAAGGUGACAGUUGUUAAAGAUUUAUUGCCUGGGGAGGAGCUUGCGGCAGAUUAGCUUGUUGGUAAGGAACGGCUUACCAAGGCUACGAUCUGUAUCCGGUCUAAGAGGACGGUCGGACACACUGACACUGAAUAACGGGUCAGACUCCUACGGGAGGCAGCAGUCGGGAAUUUUGGGCAAUGGGGGAAACCCUGACCCAGCAACGCCGCGUGAAGGAUGAAGUAUUUC